GCCUGGGUGGCUCAGUCGGUUAAGCGUCUGACUCUUGGUUUCCGCUCAGGUCAUGAUCUCACGGUUCGUGGGUUCAAACCCUGCAUCAGGCU
rnacentral:tRNA from 1 species